UACGAGGGGUCCUAGCGUUGUUCGGAAUCAUUGGGCGUAAAGAGCUCGUAGGUGGCUUAGUAAGUCAGGUGUGAAAGCCCAAGGCUCAACCUUGGAAGUGCACUUGAAACUGCAUAGCUUGAGUACGGUAGAGGUAAGUGGAAUUCCUGGUGUAGUGGUGAAAUACGUAGAUAUCAGGAGGAACAUCGGUGGCGAAGGCGGCUUACUGGACCAGUACUGACACUGAGGAGCGAAAGCAUGGGGAUCAAACAGG
rnacentral:rRNA from 2 species